UGGGGAAUUUUGCGCAAUGGGCUAACGCCUGACGCAGCAACGCCGCGUGGAGGAUGAAGGUCUUUGGAUUGUAAACUCCUGUCAGCAGGGAAAAAGGGAGGGGACCUAAUACGUCCUUGACUUGAUUGUACCUGCAGAGGAAGCCCCGGCUAACUCUGUGCCAGCAGCCGCGGUAAUACAGAGGGGGCAAGCGUUAUUCGGAAUUAUUGGGCGUAAAGGGCGCGUAGGCGGCCUGGCAAGUGACGGGUGAAAUCCCUCGGCUUAACCGAGGAACUGCCUGUCAGACUGCUUGGCUUGAGACCGGGAGAGGCGAGUGGAAUUCCCAGUGUAGCGGUGAAAUGCGUAGAUAUUGGGAGGAACACCAGUGGCGAAGGCGGCUCGCUGGACCGGAACUGACGCUGAGGCGCGAAAGCGUGGGGAGCAAACAGG
rnacentral:rRNA from 1 species